rnacentral:tRNA from 3 species
GGGCCGAUAGAUCAGCGGUAGAUCGCUUGCUUUGCAAGCAAGAGGGCUCGGGUCCAAAUCCCGAUCGGUCCA